UUGGACGCUCCACCGACUGAGCCACCCAGGCACCCCAGUAAAUUUGUUCUUAGUUUAUUUUUUUAAUGAUAUUUUUCUUUCCUUUGUGAUGUGAACAUAGAGCUCUUUCCAAAGCACAUCCCAUACGCUCAUGCUGUGAAAUAUCUUGUGGUAAGCACUUACAGGACAAGACAUCUGUACAGAUACUGAUUUAUAACAACUCCAAGCUACACUAAAUGGGGAAAAAUGUGAACAGCAUAUGAUCAGUAGAAUCAUCUUAGUAGGCAUUGGGGCCCGAGUCAAGCUUAAGACAAAAUGGCAUCUAGUCCAGAUUGCUCUUAAUUCCCUUAGCAAGUUGUCACAUUGGAGCCCCACAUGCUCUUUUGUAACCACACCUACUGUCCCUCAGCAUUGGAGCCCAUCACCAAUGGGCUUGAAUUUAGGGACUUCCAGGAAAAGUGUUUCUCUAAACACUCGAAUCACAUAAGGGAGCUGAAAGCUUACCCCACACCCUCCCUUAUACUGCUUCUUGGGCAUAUGGUCCCUCAGUGGGAUGGCCAACCCCGGCACAAAUAGUUAUAUUCACAGAAGUUAAACACUUCCAUGAUGCGACUACCCUGUGUAAAUUCGCUGGGGGGCGGAGAGGGGUGGGCAGGGAGGAAGCAGUUUAGGGGCAGAGAAGAGCAUGGGCGGAUAUGCCAGAUCUUGAAGGAUACAGUUAAACUAGUACAGUGACUACAUCUGGAGACAAUAGUUAUUGUGUCAUUUGUAGACUUUGUGUACUAUAAAAAAAUGUUUUUGAAAAGUAAUGUAAGAAUUUCAAAGUCAAGAACAAAAGGCCAUUCUAGAUACUGGGCCCUCCCGGGGAAUCCCCCCCUGGGUCUGGUUUCGUCCCAGAGGGAUGAUGCUGGAAGCGUGGGCACCAGCCACUUAGACUUCGGUGAGACAUAAAAACCGUGCUGAAUUUGCUGUUGCCAUCACAGCCUUCUGUGAAAGUAAAUGGCAAGAAGCGCUCCUCUCCCACAACCCGUACCCUCCAGAGUGCGCUGCGGGUAAGCAGCAGACCUCUGCCGCAGCAGGGCCAGGGGUCUGGAGGGAAAGGUGCUCCGCUGCCACCUCGUGUGACUUGCCGAGUUUGCGUUUCUCCCCACAGUUGUCGAGCGCCUGACACUCGGGUGGGCCCAGGACAGCUCUGCCCUUUCUCUUCCUGCUAACGACUCGACUGGAGCCGCCUCUUUCAUGGGUGCUGCCCCUCUGAUGGGGUCAACACACAGAGGGCCGUCAGCCCAGAUGAGAAGACCAAGGCACAGAGAUGAGUGUUCCUGAGCUCACACAGUGAUGCCCCCCUUGGCGGAAGCAGAUUUCAAACUCAGGCUGUUCAACCCCCGUGCUGGGCUCUUAAAUCACUUGACUUCUUUGACCUGCUGUUUCCUCCUCAGCAAAAUCAGCCUGAUGGGGAAAACACAUGAAGUGUGCCUCAGAGCUGGGCUGGAAGAGAUGCCUACGAGCGAGAUGUGUUGUUUUCACACAACAAAAAGCUAUACAGCAACGAAAAGGGACAAAUUGCAGCUACAGGUGGAGCAGCAGAGGAAGCAUAUGACUCCCGUGCAUGGUGAAGACAGCAAGAGCCUGCAAAUACGGAGUCCUGUAAUGCAAACCACGAGUGCCUCUGAGCUGUGGUAGGCGCACUCCAAAUCGCAAAUCCGCAAGGCAUUGCACAUCUGGAUGGAGCACGAGCCUUGGAAAAAUUGUGCCUCUUGGUAUCCAUGGUGUCUGAAGCAAAGCAAAACAGUAUGUGAAGGGUGGGAUAUGGAAACACGGUGGCUGGAGCCCCUUAUUAAGGGGUGUCGAAUGUCACUGACAGCCGCUGCCCUUCUACUGCAUGAAGGUGAUAAAUGUUAACAGGGACUCUCACGAGUUCUCUCACUUGGGUCUCCCCCAGCUGUCUCCAUCAAGUCUUAAGUUGUGAAUCCUCCUGGCAGUUGGGAGGGAAUACAGUAAAUUCAGUCGAUAUAGUGGAAUAGGCCUGUACACACAGUAGCCCCUGGGUUCCAAGGCCCCCUCCAAAGCUGCCCCCACCCCAAGGCUGCCCUCAUGUUCACUUGAAGUCUAAAGAACAGAAGCCUUCCAAGCCUCUUUUUUUGGUAUUGGAAACCUACCUAUGCCAACAUGUCAGGUUCUUGGUGACUGUCAGGAGCCCCCGCCUAGGAGAGGUAGUGGGAAGCCACAGUUCUCCCCCUCCGAGCUGGCUACCGGGAGAUGUGCUGCUGGGAAAGCAAAUCUCAGACCCCACGUGCGACAGCGACUAGGGAGCACGUGAAAAAGACUCCUGCCACCGAAAGCUUGGCAAAGCGUCUGUUCGCUCUCUGCAGAUGCACGUCCAUGGGGAACAGGAGGAUGGGUGGCAGGGGAGAGCAGAAUCCCACGGGAAUCUGCUGCUAAGGGUCUGCGGGUGGGGACGGGGGCAGUGAACUCCCUAUAGGAGUUCCAGACUCAAACCUUCUGCAGAUCUUAGGUGGUUGGGCCUGCCAGGUUCUCAUGCCCCAAGUCUACUGGGGACAGAGGUACCUAGAUAACAUUUCUGGCCACUCACAUAUUUGGACUGGAUUCACUUCACCAACGACGAAGUUAUAAUGACAGGGAGUAGAGAUUCAUUCCCGGAGGUUGUGCUCACUUUGGUCCGUGUGCUGGCAGAGGGGAAGGGGCGGAGUAGAGAUACUCGACACAAGUUCCUUACCAGCCCCGGGCCGGCCCCGGCCCCAGGGAAUCCCAGCAACCCCAAGUAAGGGAAAUGAAGAACCUCAAGCUUCUUUAGGCAGCGAACCCCACAGGGGCCACCAGCCUUUGCUGUGGGAAGAGGGCAUUAGCUGUCCCCUUGAGCCCCACUUGCUCGGGGAAGCUGUUGAGGCCUGAAGGGAGCUUCAGGUCACCUCACGUUCCCCAGAAGGCUGAGUUUACAUGGUGUGGGGAACCCAGGGUGGCUGCCACCUUCCCCUCCCACUGGGGGCUCCGUGAGCCUCAGAGGCACCAGCAUCCAGAAGCUCUCCAAACCCCAUACUUCAGGGAUUUUUAUGGAGGCCUUACUAUGGGGAUGAACCCAGGGGAUGGGUGGGGGGAAGUGCUGAACAUCCCAGGCUUCUGACCAUGCUUGGUCUUUCAGGUCACCAACCCCUGUGCUGAAGGUAGCCAGGAAGGAGCCUGCCAAGAGUCACUUCAUUAGAGCAAAAGAUAUUCCCAUCACCCAGGAAACUCCAAGGGAUUUGGGAGCUCUGUGUCAGGAAGCAAGGGCAAACAAGAGAUGCUCCUAGCACCUUAACGGAGUAGGAAAUUACAAAGGUUUUAGGAGUUCUGGCCAGGAGCUGGGUUCAAACACCAAAAUAUAUAGUUCUUCUGCCAUCAUAACAUCACAUUGUAACAAGGAGUUCAUGGCUGUGCAAAAUCCCCUGGGGAGCCCGGCUGCAAUUUUCUAGGUGCACAGACCUUUAAAAAAUGAAGUCGAUUUAAAAUCCAUGCUAAUACAGUAGCAGGAAGCUUCUAGCAGUCUGUGACUAUUUAAAUUACAUUUCAUUUAAUUUAAAUUUAAAGGAAAAUUCAAUUCUUUUGUUGUACUAGCCACUUUUCAAGCGCUCUGUAGCUGGCUAAUGACCACCAUAUUGGUCAGUGCAGAUAAAGAAAAUUUUAAUUGGACAAUGCUGUUUUAAAUGCCUUCACUAAAACAAUAAGACUUUAUCACCAUCAAAGAAAAAAUAGUUUCAAUGUAGUAUAAUCGUGUUUUUAAGAACAGAUUUGAACAGGCUUCCCAAAUGUAAUUGUGCAUAAGAAUCAUCUAGGGAAUCUUGUAAAAAUUCACGUUCUGAUUCCGCAGGUCUGGGGUGAGGCCCUAGAUUCUGCAUUUCUAGUAAGCCCACAGGUCAUGCUAAUGUUGCUGGUCUUUGGACCAUCCUUUUGGGCAGUGAGGGAUCACUGGAUUAAUUAAAAAACACCCAGGGUACAUUUUAUUGAUGAACCUUGGGAAUGGGAAGCAAGUUCGAAAUUGCAUCAUGAGUGAUGAGCGUCAUCUUUCACUCCUGGCCAGAUACCUUGGCCGCUGUGGACUUCAUUCAGACAGUAUGUCUCAAGCCUAAAUUUCAGGCCUGUUGUUAGGCCCCGCCCAAAGGCCCGUUUCCCAGAGUGAUAGGUCCUGGCAUCAGGAACAGCUUCCCUCUUAGGGCCCCAUCAGGCCAAAAGGCCCCGGCUCCCCCGGGAAUCAAGGCGACUUGCCAUGACAGCUGCCGGGGACAGCUCCUCUCAGAACAGUGAACUGGAUGCCUUGUCUCAGCCUCUCCUUUAUUUCUUGUCUUUUUCUCAAAUGUAAAAAUAGAGAAGUUCAAAGCCCCCAUAUUCCCACCGCCCCAAAUUACCACCGUUACAAUUUGUCACAUAUUCCUUCCAGUGCGUCCCACGUAUGUUGUUGAUUCAGUGGCCUGAGAUGAACAUAGCCGCCGAGUGUUCACACCUGGUGUGGUGCUGGCCCUGUGACUUACCUAACUACGGGAUGUGGCGGAGGUGAUGCUGUGCCAGCCCUGAGGCAAAGUCUUGAGGAAGCCUGACAGUUUCUGGGUUUUCACUGAUGGAAGCUCUUUGUGCCUGGCCACUCUGCUGGAGUGAUCACAUUGGCGACUGCGUGGAGAGACAGCCGGACGAGGACUGACCAGGAGGCCCAGCCUACGCGGAGACGCAAGGCCUCGGCUUGCAGCUGAGUGAGGCUACCAGGUGGCUCCCAGCAAGACCAGCCAAGGGACUGCCCCAGAGAGCUCAGCCAAGGUGGAAGAACCAGGAGCAAAUAAAACGGUACUGGUUUGGGGGCACGGGGGUGGUUCAUUCGGCUGAGCAUCUGACUCUUGAUUUGGGCUCAGGUCAUGAUCCCAGGGUUGUGGAAUCAAGCCCUGCGUCAGGCUCCAUGCUG